AUUGAACGCUGGCGGCAGGCCUAACACAUGCAAGUCGAGCGGAUGAAGGGAGCUUGCUCCUGGAUUCAGCGGCGGACGGGUGAGUAAUGCCUAGGAAUCUGCCUGGUAGUGGGGGAUAACGUCCGGAAACGGGCGCUAAUACCGCAUACGUCCUGAGGGAGAAAGUGGGGGAUCUUCGGACCUCACGCUAUCAGAUGAGCCUAGGUCGGAUUAGCUAGUUGGUGGGGUAAAGGCCUACCAAGGCGACGAUCCGUAACUGGUCUGAGAGGAUGAUCAGUCACACUGGAACGGAGACACGGUCCAGACUCCUAAGGGAGGCAGCAGUGGGGAAUAUUGGACAAUGGGCGAGAGCCUGAUCCAGCCAUGCCGCGUGUGUGAAGAAGGUCUUCGGAUUGUAAAGCACUUUAAGUUGGGAGGAAGGGCAGUAAGUUAAUACCUUGCUGUUUUGACGUUACCAAAAGAAUAAGCACCGGCUAACUUCGUG
rnacentral:rRNA from 1 species